rnacentral:rRNA from 1 species
UACGAAGGUGCAAGCGUUAAGUCGGAAUUACUGGGGCGUAAAGGCGCGCGUAGGUGGUUUGUUAAGUUGUAAUGUGAAAGCCCCCGGGCGUCAACCUGGGAACUGCAUCCAAAACUGGCAAGCUAGAGUAUGGCAGAGGGUGGUGGAAUUUCCUGUGUAGCGGUGAAAUGCGUAGAUAUAGGAAGGAACACCAGUGGCGAAGGCGACCACCUGGGCUAAUACUGACACUGAGGUGCGAAAGCGUGGGGAGCAAACAGGAUUAGAUACCCCCGUAGU